UUUUCCUUUUUCACAUCACAAUUCACAUCCAAAUAUCUUGACCCUUUCUCUUCAGUCACGAGUCAAGACCUCUGAGACUUGGUUCUGUAAUAAUCUAAAACCUAGAAAGAAGUUUGUUUCUAAUUACGUGUAACUUCAUUUCACAUUGAAGGAAGACAAUGAUGGGACUUUCGUUUUUUCUUAAAACCAUCACUAUCAAAUUUCAUUGACUUACCUUUACUUCUUUGUUCCUUGCUAUUAUCCUCCUUAUUGUUCGGUGCUCUCUCACUCUAUUUUAUCA